AAAGUCGUAACAAGGUUUCCGUAGGUGAACCUGCGGAAGGAUCAUUAUUGAAUCCUCAGGAUGUUGCUGGCCUUUCGGGGCAUGUGCACUCCUACCUUUCAAUACACCUGUGAACUUAUUGUAGGUGGCAUAUGUCACCUAUGUUUUUACAAACCCCUUAACAAGUUAUUGAAUGUCUAAUAAAUGGCUUUUGCCAAUAAACAUUAAUACAACUUUCAACAAUGGAUCUCUUGGUUCUC
rnacentral:misc_RNA from 1 species